GAUGAAGAACGCAGCGAAAUGCGAUAAGUAAUGUGAAUUGCAGAAUUCAGUGAAUCAUCGAAUCUUUGAACGCACAUUGCGCCCGCUAGUACUCUAGCGGGCAUGCCUGUUCGAGCGUCAUUUCAACCCUCAAGCCCUGCUUGGUGUUGGGGUCCUACGGCUGCCGUAGGCCCUGAAAGACAGUGGCGGGCUCGCUAUAACUCCGAGCGUAGUAGUAACAUAUCUCGCUAGGGAGGUGUCGCGGGUUCCGGCCGUGAAAGCCCCAUCUUUUACACAAGGUUGACCUCGGAUCAGGUAGGAAUACCCGCUGAACUUAAGCAUAUCAAUAAGCGGAGGA
rnacentral:misc_RNA from 1 species